CGUAGGGAGCGAGCGUUGUCCGGAAUUACUGGGUGUAAAGGGAGUGUAGGCGGGAUGGCAAGUUAGGUGUGAAAUGCGGAGGCUCAACCUCCGAGCUGCACUUAAAACUGCUGUUCUUGAGUGAAGUAGAGGCAGGCGGAAUUCCUAGUGUAGCGGUGAAAUGCGUAGAUAUUAGGAGGAACAUCAGUGGCGAAGGCGGCCUGCUGGGCUUUUACUGACGCUGAGGCUCGAAAGCGUGGGGAGCAAA
rnacentral:rRNA from 1 species